rnacentral:rRNA from 1 species
CUCCUGGAAACGGGUGGUAAUGCCGGAUGUUCCACAUGAGCGCAUGCGAGUGUGGGAAAGGCUUUUUGCGGCAUGGGAUGGGGUCGCGUCCUAUCAGCUUGUUGGUGGGGUAACGGCCUACCAAGGCGUUGACGGGUAGCCGGCCUGAGAGGGCGACCGGCCACAUUGGGACUGAGAUACGGCCCAGACUCCUACGGGAGGCAGCAGUGGGGAAUAUUGCACAAUGGGCGCAAGCCUGAUGCAGCGACGCCGCGUGCGGGAUGGAGGCCUUCGGGUUGUAAACCGCUUUUGUUCAAGGGCAAGGCACGGUUUCGGCCGUGUUGAGUGGAUUGUUCGAAUAAGCACCGGCUAACUACGUGCCAGCAGCCGCGGUAAUACGUAGGGUGCAAGCGUUAUCCGGAUUUAUUGGGCGUAAAGGGCUCGUAGGCGGUUCGUCGCGUCCGGUGUGAAAGUCCAUCGCUUAACGGUGGAUCCGCGCCGGGUACGGGCGGGCUUGGGUGCGGUAGGGGAGACUGGAAUUCCCGGUGUAACGGUGGAAUGUGUAGAUAUCGGGAAGAACACC